GACGAACCGUGCGAACGUUGUUCGGAAUCACUGGGCUUAAAGGGCGCGUAGGCGGGCUCUCAAGUCAGGGGUGAAAGCCCACGGCCCAACCGUGGAAGUGCCUCUGAUACUGGGGGCCUGGAGGGGGAUAGGGGCGUGCGGAACUUGGGGUGGAGCGGUGAAAUGCGUAGAUAUCCCAAGGAACACCGGUGGCGAAGGCGGCACGCUGGGUCCCUACUGACGCUGAGGCGCGAAAGCCAGGGGAGCGAACGGG
rnacentral:rRNA from 1 species